UACGAGAGCCCCAAGCAUUACCCGGAAUCACUGGGCGUAAAGGGUGUGUAGGUGGUUAUGUUAGUCUUUCGUGAAAGCCUCCCGGCUCAACCGGGAGAACGCGAGGGAAACGGCAUAACUCGAGGAUGCGAGAGGUGUACGGAACUCUAGGUGUAGGGGUGAAAUCCGUUGAUAUCUAGGGGAACACCAAAAGCGAAGGCAGUACACUGGCGCAUUCCUGACACUGAAACACGAAAGCGUGGGUAGCGAACGGG
rnacentral:rRNA from 1 species